GCCAAUACUAGCCCUAAGCAUAACCAACACUAAUACCAAACCAACACACACUAAACCAUUCACCUACACAAAGUAUAGGCGAUAGAAAUUUUAAUCUGGCGCUAUAGACAUAGUACCGUAAGGGAAAGGUAGAAAACCACCCAAGCACAAAACAGCAAGGACUAACUCCUGUACCUUUCGCAUAAUGGAUUAGCUAGAAACAAUUUCACAAAGAGGACUACAAGCCAAAUCCCCCGAAACCAGACGAGCUACCCAAAAACAGCUAAAAGAGCGCACCCGCCUAUGUGGCAAAAUAGUGGGAAGAUUUCUGGGUAGAGGUGACAAGCCUACCGAGCCUGGUGAUAGCUGGUUAUCCAAGACAGAAUCUUAGUUCAACCUUAAGCUUACCUACAGAACUACCUAAUCCCCCUGUAAGCUUAACUGCUAGUCUAAAGAGGGACAGCUCUUUAGACACUAGGAAAAAACCUUACGGAGAGAGUAAAACCCUCAAUCACCAUAGUUGGCCUAAAAGCAGCCAUCAAUUAAGAAAGCGUUCAAGCUCAACACUAACCACCACAAAAAUACCAAACACAUAACUGAACUCCUCACACCACAUUGGAUUAAUCUAUCACCAUAUAGAAGCAAUAAUGCUAGUAUAAGUAACAUGAAUAUUUUCUCCGCUGCAUAAGCCUAAAUCGGACCGAAAGCCUCACCGAUAUUUAACAGCCAGGCAUAACAAGCACAAACAAGCCCAUGCCACCUUCACUGUUAACCCAACACAGGCAUGCCCCAAGGAAAGGUUAAAAAAAGUAAAAGGAACUCGGCAAACCCAAACCUCGCCUGUUUACCAAAAACAUCACCUCUAGCAUUACUAGUAUUAGAGGCACUGCCUGCCCAGUGACACACGUUUAACGGCCG
rnacentral:rRNA from 1 species